CAAAUUUUUUCAUGCGCUCAAUGCUUGUUGGCUACUUUUGCUGGUUCUUGUUUGCAGCAUCAGCGAAAGUUUGCGCUAAAAUUGCUAAAUAUUUAUAUACUUGUAUGUAUUUAUGUGAAAUGACAUGUUUAACUUUUUUGCUGGAACUUGUAUUGCCCUAAAGCCUUGGCAUCAACACCAUACGUAAUUAAAACAUACGUCGAGCAUUAAUUGGUAGCUCUCCAAAGGCGGGUAUAAAAUCAAUUUUUCAAGCAUAUUAAGUUUGUAUGUAGCUAGUUUGCAGCGAAUAUAAAGACGCUAUAAUUCCCCAGUGUUCAAAAACAUUACUUGAGUAGAUUGCCUCAAUCAAUUUAAUUAAUUUGAAUUUGUAUUAAAUUUCAUAUGCGGACAAUGAGCGGGCAAUGUCAAGGUUCAAAGAGUUAUCGUAACCUGGUGAUAAAUUCAACAAAAAUAGUGUUAUGAUUUUCUAAUGUAUGUGGCUCGCGACGCAGGAAGAAAAUAUUUAGACUUCAUUUCAACUACAAAAACUCCUUAGAGAUUCUAAAACUGUUCUGUUGAGAAAUAAGUUAAAGAUAAAGCUGUGGCUUUAAAUACAACUGCCUUGCAUUAUCAUGUUACCACUACAAAGAGGGAUUGCGGCUUCGCAAGCGAUCCACCCAAUUUUCUUUAACUUAGAAUAUGUAUUAAGCACAACGGUAGGUAUCCUGUCUCAACCGGCUGGAAGCUGGCCAUUUCCGAAGUCAAAGUUCUAAUGUUUUCUCAGUCUCAGCACAUGUCCGACAUUAUGUCUAUUCUUCC